rnacentral:misc_RNA from 1 species
GAAAAAUAUGGAGAACAGGUACGCGUAGUUGAAGUUCCUGGCGUGUCGAUGGAAUUAUGUGGUGGCACCCAUGUCAGCAAUACUGCUGAGAUACGUGGCUUCAAAAUCAUAUCAGAGCAGGGCAUUGCAUCGGGAAUAAGGCGAAUUGAAGCUGUAGCUGGAGAUGCUUUCAUUGAGUAUGUCCUUACAAGAGAUAACUACAUGAAGCAGCUAUGCUCCACUCUCAAAGUAAAAGCAGAAGAAGUAACUGGCAGGGUAGACGGGCUUUUGGAAGAAUUACGAUUGACAAGAAAUGAAGUUUCAGCUGCUCGGGCAAAAGCAGCAAUCUAUAAGGCAUCAACACUUGCUAGCAGAGCGUUUACUAUUGGAACUUCAAAAAGUAUUAGGCUCCUAGUUGAGUUCAUGGAUGAUAUUGAUGCCGAUUCACUUAAGAGUGCUGCAGAAUAUCUGGUGGAUUCUUUGAAGGAUCCAGCAGCUGUGGUUCUAGGAUCAUGCCCAGGAGAAGGAAAAGUUAGCCUUGUUGUUGCUCUAACACCAGGAGUUGUUAAUCUCGGAAUUAAAGCCGGUGAAGUUAUAAAGCCUCUAGCUAAAUCAUGUGGUGGAGGAGGGGGUGGUCGGCCUAAUUUCGCUCAAGCAGGUGGGAGGAAACCAGAGAACUUGCUAGGCGCUCUUGAAGAAGCUCGUGAACAGCUUAAAAAUCUGCUUGAAAAAUGAUGUCUAAUGAUAGCAUCAUGAGUUUUCAGUUGGUGAAGCAGAAUUGAAGUCCUUACUUAUCGAUGUUUGAAGUAAGUAUCUCUUGCCACAUAUGAUGCAAGACGUCUGCUUCCAUCACAACAUUUCUACACAACUGGUUCAGAUUCUCUCCUUUCUUUUAUUUGAUCCUUAGUUUUUCUUUCUCAUUUGUGUGGUUAGCUGCUCUAGGUAGGAGAGGGAGGGAGUGUUGUAAAUGGGGUUCUAUACAGCAUCAACCAAUACAGUUGCAGAAACUUCAUAUUAUCUUUGUACAA